rnacentral:lncRNA from 1 species
CCGGAUUGCUUUUCUUUGCGAUUUCAUACCAAUUCUUUGCAAUCACAGCUCCCAAGCAUAUAAUCUACAAAACAAACACAAAAUGCAUGAAAAGUAACUAAGAAACAUGAGAUUAAGCAACUAAUUCAAGUAUCAGAUACCGGAUAAAUAGGUAUAAAAUCUACUUAUCAGUCUGACAAUUUCAGCUUUAGAGGCUGACCUUUGACUUUGGUAGAAAGGGUUCGACAAUUUAUGGAUGCAUUUGAGUAAAUCUCCUUUACCAAUUCAGCAUAUACUCAAAUGCUUGCCUCAAGACAUUCUGAGAAUCCAGCCUUCUUCACAAGUUCAAGAAUGUCUCUGAACUUAUUUUCCGAUUUUUCAAAUGUCUUGGUUCCGAGCUGAAUGCCAGUGAGUACUCGCCAAUCUGCCAUUUGAAGAGUUUAAAGAAUAUGGUUGUUUGAUUUAGGGAGUCUUAUAAGAGAUAGAUGAAUGUGAUUUUGGCAAUGCUCUGGAGGGUUAAUGGAUUUAGGCUUUGAAGAGGAUUCUAGGGUUUGAAAAUGGGAGGGAGAGAGGUUCGAUAGUUUCUGGUAACUGUUUGAAGAUUUUGAAUUCGUCUUUAUGGCAGUCCCUUCUGACUCUGCAUAAGCUGUGAUGUGUCAACCAUUCAUUAGUUGUACGAUGCCCAGUAACAAACUAUAACUCCCCAUAAACGUUUCAGUUUGAUAUUCCUUUUAAGAAAAUAGGCGUCAAUGACGUGGAUUGAUUGUUGACCUUUUUGGUUCGUAGAGUAGCUUGGUGAGGUAGCUAUGGACUCUACGUUUUUCUUUGUUAAAUUAACGAUCUUCUUCUAAGAGAUGCUGCAGUAGAUGGUUUGACAUUAAUCCUCCUCUUGAAACUGCAUGUCUUAACCACUGAUGUACCCUAAGCCAGUUUAGGCACUUUUAGUUCUGAAGUGAGUUUGCAUGAUGUCUUUCCAAAAUGUAUUCAAAUUUAUCUCCACACUAUCUGAG